rnacentral:rRNA from 1 species
GUGAACGCUGGCGGCGUGCUUAAGACAUGCAAGUCGAACGCGGUCUUCGGACCGAGUGGCGCACGGGUGAGUAACGCGUAACUGACCUACCCAGAAGUCAUGAAUAACUGGCCGAAAGGUCAGCUAAUACGUGAUGUGAUGAUUCGCUUUGGCGAAUCAUUAAAGAUUUAUCGCUUCUGGAUGGGGUUGCGUUCCAUCAGCUAGUUGGUGGGGUAAAGGCCUACCAAGGCGACGACGGAUAGCCGGCCUGAGAGGGUGGCCGGCCACAGGGGCACUGAGACACGGGUCCCACUCCUACGGGAGGCAGCAGUUAGGAAUCUUCCACAAUGGGCGCAAGCCUGAUGGAGCGACGCCGCGUGAGGGAUGAAGGUUCUCGGAU